UGGAGAGGCCGUACGAUUACAUCUCUCUUGGCGAUUUUUCUCGAAAACAAAUUCGUCAAGAUGAAGGAAUAGGCGAGCUGCCAAUGUUUGAAUGUGGUAAAGAAGGUCAUGGCCAUAGAUAAACAAGUCACACAAACGUCCACGUGAGGCGAGAAUAGGCUAGACGAAUAGGAAAAAUUUAUUCUUCAUCUCUGCAACGGCACUUGUCAAAACAAUAAAGAGAUUUCCGAAUAUGUGCCGGUGUUGCGUGAAAUAUGAAGCCACUGGUCAGCCGUCGACUAGAAUUACAAAACUGCAAGAUCACUUUGAGCUUUCAAAAUUCAACUUUUCACUCAAAUAAAUUAGAUUGGAUUCUACCACCUAUCAGAAACUGUCUGUGUUUAAAAAUAAGUGAAUAUAAUCUGAAUUUCUAUCUCUCUCUCUCCAAUUCCUAAUUACCCCUACUUAUACAGAAAUCUAUUGUAAACAAUCAAAUAUAAAAACAGAUUAGGGAUUGCAUUGUCAUGAAAUGUCAUGGGAAUUAGUAAGCCAAUAAGUAUUGAACUAAUUGGCCCCUAAGGUGGAAAUUACCAUAUUUUUAUACAAGAAGCUGAAUGGAAUCUAUUGCUUUAAUAAAUUUCAAAAUUGAAUCACUGUUCAAUCUAAUUUUCAUAAUUCAUUUCAUCUAACCUCAAAAUUGACUUAAUGCUGAGAUAAAUUGUAUAUAAAUCUGUCUGUAUGUCUACA